GUCUCCUCCCAUGAUAGUGGUGCAGGGAAGCGCUCCCCUUGCAGCCAGUGGGAGAGAGAGAGAACAAAAGCUAGAGGAAAGUCGUCGUGGCUGCCAGGAGUUGGUGGCUGCCAUGUUUUCCUGCCUCUUACACUG
rnacentral:snoRNA from 1 species